GUGAUUGGAUGGCAUGUGUUUGCGGGCUUCUUGCUUUGUGCAUUGAACCGUUGGCACGCCGUCCGCUUCAAUUUUUCCUCGAGCGCUCUUGUGUUUCGUGGGUUCGGUUGGUAUCCUGUGUUGCUUACCGGCUUGUUGGAAUUGAUUGGUUUCGACUCUCUCAUCCGCCUUGUGCCUUUUGGGGUGUUGGGCGGACGCGAUGCGGGCUUUGUGUUCCUGGCGUGCCUCGUGCUAAGUUGCGUGGCUGUCCCGGCGCAUGAAGCCUUCGCUCGUGCUCUUGGAUGCGGAAUGUUUAUGCGUGGGGAUGGUGCCUUGGCCCCGAUCCGCCCGAGCUCUACGCAAAUGUCCCUUGACCCGAAUGACAGCCGUUCCCGUCUCGAUUCCGCCGUGCGGGUCGUGCGGGAGCGGGCGUCACCGAGGAAUGCUACCUGGUUGAUCCUGC
rnacentral:misc_RNA from 1 species